rnacentral:lncRNA from 1 species
CUGCCAUGGGUCCAUUUUGCUGAGUCUCCUGUGUUACACGUGGCAGAGAGCGGAUGCUGAGAGGGAGAGUGAGCUCGGGUUUCUUCCACACCUCCUCUCUCACUUGCAGCCUCCGGCAUUUUAAGGAGGUCUGGGAAGUUCUGAUUCAGAGGCCGUGCCCCUCACUCCCAAGCUCAAUAGCUACUGAUGGCCCUUUCCUCCAAGACUCUUAACAUUUCCUAUACAGCCAGAUCUGAAGGCCAGUGGGCACGUGGGUCUGCGAUGCGUAGCAAUGUGAACAAAUCCUUUGGUCUCCAGCAUCACUGAUUUCAGUUCCUCUGUCACAUGCAUCAGCAUGUUUAAAGUGAAAUUGAGUCAUCUCCGUUCCUUGAUUUCGCUGUAAUGUGGUGAGUCACAGAUGCUGGAAAGAGCCAGCUAUGAGCCGGGAGCAGCUGGCAUCUCACAUGCUGAACCUUGUCUGAUGCAGGUGAGUGAGAAGUGUUAGGACCCACGGGUACUCAGGCAUCCACCUGCUGGCCUCUUGGGAGCAAGUGAGCCAGUCAGUCCCCUUCUGAAAGCCAAGAAGAAGGAACUUGGGGCCUGAUCUUGGAGCACCGUCAACUGUCCUGGAGGUCAUUUAGCAUCAAGAAUGCUCCACCCUUUGCUCCUGUGCUAACUAUGGCUGCUGCUCUCCAGCUUGCUGUGUGAGGUCCACACGAAAUGUUUCCUGAAAAACAUCCUCAGGCUUGUCCAGCUGGAGUGCAGAGAUCCUGCAAAUCAUCUCAGUAUUUGUUAGGCAGUUUCCCUUCCUUUCCUGUUGUCUGCAUCCAUGACCUCAGCAGAACUUGCUGGCCAGGACUGCAGAUUUGGUUUGCCAGCAGAUUCACAACACUCUGCAAAGACCUUGCCCUGAUCACAAAGGCACUUGACAUCUGGUUGUGGACCCAGCACGGAGAAGGCAUCAAGAAGCUGAUCCGGAGUCCAGGAUUUUAUGCUUCAACCCACUGACCCACCCUGAUGGGACACUCGAUCACUCUUGAGUUCUUUAAAGAGUAACAACAUUUCAGUGGUUAAAACAGUCCUUUGCUGAAAGGCCGUGCUCUUUGUUUCCUUCCACGUUGUCCUCAAAGGAUUAAAUUAGAGGUCCAGUGAUUCAAUAACCUUGGUGGGACUCUGGGAAAGUGGCUGUAAGCAACUGGGGGCUUGGAGGGCUGACACACCGGUUUGAGGGUCAAGCACAAGUGGGCUAUCAAAACCCACCUGAAGUUAGCACUUGAAGAGAUGAGAGGAUAGCCCCUCUUCCAGGGUCGUUGAGUCUUCAACACUUCUGCCGAGCCUGGGUGGCAGGGAUUUUUUUGAUGGGACCAAAACUUUGAGGCAGCUAUCCAAGGGUAACAACAUUAGACUCAACCCUCUGAGCUAGAGGUAGACGACUCCAUAAUACUUAGCACAUUCAGCUCAGCUUCCGCUUGCGGAUCCAUAGACCUUUUGCAGUGGACUCUUCAUCUUCAAAUGAUCCUCUUCCCUUUUAAUUUCUGAAUGUGACACAAGGCCAUU